CCUCCGAGUGGUAGCAGUGAGGAAUAUUGGUCAAUGGGCGGGAGCCUGCACCAGCCAAGUCGCGUGAGGGAAGACGGUCCUAUGGAUUGUAAACCUCUUUAGGCUGGGAGCAAUGCCGGGCACGCGUGCCCGGAGGGCGCGUACCCGCAGAAUACGCAUCGGCUAACUCCGUGCCAGCAGCCGCGGUAAUACGGAGGAUGCGAGCGUUAUCCGGCUUUAUUGGGUUUAAAGGGUGCGUAGGCGGAUUGUUACGUCAGCGGUAAAAUGUCCGGGCUCAACCCGGGCCGGCCGUUGAAACUGGGGAGCUUGAGUGGGCGAGAAGUAUGCGGAAGGCGUGGUGUAGCGGUGAAAUGCAUAGAUAUCACGCAGAACUCCGAUUGCGAAGGCAGCAUACCGGCGCCCGACUGACGCUGAGGCACGAAAGCGUGGGGAUCGAACAGGAUUAGAUACCCUUGUAGUC
rnacentral:rRNA from 1 species